rnacentral:ncRNA from 1 species
ACUUGAUAUUGCGAUCACACCGCUAUAAUACGCUGGUCUCCUUUAAAUGAACUUUUUAAAGGAUGAAGAUAUAGUCUAUACACAUAGUAAUAUGUGACAAAUAUGCAACUUAUCCUGGCGGUGGAGAAGCUGCCAAGGGUUUGGCUGUUCGCCAAUUAAAAAGUUACGUGAGCUGGGUUCAAACCGUCGUGAGACAGGUUGGUCUCCUAUCUACUGCACCCGUUGACCCUUGAAGGGAGUCUCUUCUAGUAGCCCGUAAGGGCCUGCUACUUUCCGCCGAGAGGCGGAUUGAAAAAGUGGCUAAUAACGGUGAAGUCUUAUCUGUUUGAAUUAUUUUAUAUGCAUACAUACUGACUCGGUCCUGAGAGUAUGUUGAGAAUCUGUUAAGAAUAAUAAAAACAAAAGAUAAUACCGUGGGAAGUCGUUGUCAGUGUAAAAACACUGACACGCGGACAGUCGCAGACUGGACGCGGACUAACGCAGAAUUUAUUUCUGCGCGGGUCUGCGUGAAGUCAGCGUAAGUCAGCGUGCCCGUUUGACGGGCAAUUGACCCCGUAACGACUUGUUCCUCCGACCUUGCGUCGGAGGACGGACUUGCAUAAUGCUGGAAAGUUUCUUUUAUAAGAGACAGGCUUGUGCUUGUAAUACGCCAACACCCUAAAACAUUUUUAAAAUGUUCGGGUGAAGAUAUAGUCUAUGCUCCUGGAAACAGGGGAAUAAAUUCGUAUUUGUCUGCGUCAGUCUGCGUAAAGUCUGCGACUGUCUGCGGUUUACGAAGUAAACAUGACGAGAGGACCGAAGAGAACUGACCUCUGGUGUAUCGGCUGUCCUGCCAAGGGCACCGCCGAGUAGCUAUGUCGGGAAUGGAUAACCUCUGAAAGCAUCUAAGAGGGAAGCCAACCCUAAGAUUAAGGGUUAUAGAAUCCUAAGAGAUGAUUAGGUUGAUAGGCUCCAGGUGUAAGGCGAGUAAUCGCUUCAGCCGAGGAGUACUAAUAAUUCAUUUUUCCUGUUAGG